rnacentral:tRNA from 1 species
GCUCUCGUAGCUUAAUGAUUAGAGCAUUGGCAUGUAAAGCCAAAGGUGCCGGGUUCAACUCCCGGCGAGAAUG